GCCGGGACCCAGGCCGCUCCCUCUCGUCGGCAACCUCCUCGACCUGCGCGGCCACCUCCACCACACGCUCGCCCGCCUCGCACGCGUCCACGGCCCCGUCAUGCGCCUCAAGCUGGGGCUCACCACGGCCGUGGUCGUCUCCUCGCGCGGCGCGGCGAGGGAGGCGUUCGCGAGGCACGACCGCCGCCUCGCCGCGCGCGCCGUCCCGGACGCCGCCCGGGCGCUGAGGUUCUCCGACCGCUCCAUGAUCUGGCUCCCGAGCUCCGACCCGCGGUGGAAGCCCUGCGCGGCAUCGUGGCCACGCACGUCUUCUCCCCGCGCGGGCCUCGCAGCGGCGCGCGGCGUCCGCGAGCGCAAGGUCCGCGACCUGGUCNNNNNNNNNNNNNNNNNNNNNNNNNNNNNNNNNNNNNNNNNNNNNNNNNNNNNNNNNNNNNNNNNNNNNNNNNNNNNNNNNNNNNNNNNNNNNNNNNNNNNNNNNNNNNNNNNNNNNNNNNNNNNGCCUUCCUCUCUCAUCCAAGGUCACGCACGGCGACUUCCUCGAUGCGCUCCUCGAGCUCCUGUCCGCGGGCAAGGUCGCUCGUGACAACCUGACGACCAUCCUUUUCGACGUGUUCGUAGCCGGGAGCGACACCAUAGCGAUCACGGUUGAGUGGGCGAUGGCCGAGCUGCUCCGGAACCCGAGCAUCAUGGCCAAGGUGCGCAUGGAGCUCGAUGGCGUUCUCGGCGACAAAGAAACUGUCCAGGAGCCCGACGUGGCGAGCCUGCCGUACCUCCAGGCCGUGGUGAAGGAGGCGAUGCGGCUGCACCCGGUGGCGCCGAUACUGUUGCCGCAUCAGGCCGUAGAGGACGGUGUCGAGAUCGGCGGCUACAUGGUGCCCAAGGGGAGCACCGUCAUCUUCAACGCCUGGGCGAUAAUGCGGGAUCCGGAGCUGUGGGAGAGGCCGGAGGAGUUCGUCCCGGAGCGGUUCUUGGACGAGGCUGCAAGUGUGGAGUUGAGGGCGAAGGACUUCGAGUUCAUCCCGUUUGGGGCCGGACGGAGGCUGUGCCCUGGCUUGCCCAUGGCAGAGCGUGUUGUGCCGCACAUAGUGGCAUCAUUGCUACAUGGGUUCGAUUGGCGCCUGCCCGAGGGUGUAUCCAAUGAGCAAUUGGACUUGAGCGAAAAGUUUACUACUGUAAAUGUACUGGUCGUCCCACUUAGGGCAGUGCCCGUUAUGAGAACCUAGUUGUAUAGGGUCAAUGCAAAAUUGCAAAUAAAGGUGUGUUUUUUUUCAUUUUAAUGGCACCGCCGUGGAUGAAUGAGCAAAUAAAGGGCAUUUAACUAGCAUGUCUCAUAGUUUAAUGUUGGAAAAUAGCGAGGUGGCCAGCGCAAAUUGUGUGGGCUAGAGUUGAUAUAGACUUUGAUAUAUUGUAACUAAAAUAAAAACGGAUGUGCCAGCAUCCGGACGUCCGAUAAAUUUUUUAUCGGACACUCCGUCGCAACAUUGAAAAAUAACUAUCAAAACAUCAAAAAUCAACACUUGUAACAUGAGAACAUGCACUAAAAAUAGUUUUGGAACUCAUGCACGCCAUCCAUCUUAUUAUAGGAUAAAAAAUCCUCGUGCGCAGUAUUUCAUCAUGUUUCAUGCAACAUUCAUCAGAAGAUAAAUUUGCAACACCUUUACGUGAAUGAAACAUCUCUCACUUCGUGCAACAUUCAAAACAGACACAUUGCAACAAUAAAAAUCACAAGUUGCAACAUCCCGAAUAGAAACAAUCUUGCGAUCUCGGCCAAAUCAAGUAUUGCAACAACAAAAAAACAUCUCUUACAACAUUGCAACAACAAAAAAGCAUCUCUUACAGCAUUGCAACAACGAAAGAAGAAGAGGCCGAAACAAAGAAAACAACCAUAUGCAACAUCGUGAAAAAGUUGGUGCAACACCCAAUUGCUAGCAAGUCGGACUGUUGCAAACAGAUGAAACAUCAAAAGCCAACUGUUGCAACAUCCAAAAAUCUCUACUGCAACACCAGGAGGUACCUAUCACAACAUGGAGCCGUCAGUAGGCGCGAGCUUCUAUUGCUCCGGUUCGCUACGACGUCGAGCAUCACACUGAGGAGAUGGAGCCCGCUCAAAUCCACGACGACCAACCGGAGGGACAACCGUCCGGCGCAGCCACCGGUGUCGCCUUCAUCGCCGAGAAGCCUCCAAGGGUGGGAGGAAGGCGCGGCGCAACGGGGUCAUAGAUGCAGAGGCCGGCGCGCUCCGCGAACAGGGCACUACGGUGGAGGACGAGGAGGUUGCCGUGGGACUCCACAGGCGUGUACCUGUCAAAACACAUCCGACGCGAACACCCGCUGCGGCCGCCGCGCGACCUCCGUGUGGUGUCGCAUUUGGUGCUCAAGGCUCUGUUCAUGGAGGAAGAGCGACGCUGUAGGGCCGAUAGGCGGCGGGGAUCCGGGACCUGACACCAAGGAGCGGCGCUAGCUUGGCACAUUCAACACAACAGAGGAGGUUGCCAUCGUCUACAACCACGCCGCUGCGACUGAUUGAGGAAGAAGGAUAUCUGAUUUUUUCUAAGCUCAAUCGGUGGAAGGUGGGACCUAGGGGCAGUAGAAAACGAGUGGAUGAGAAUGAAAGCAUGUGUCCUGAACGGUGGAAGGUGGGACCAAGAACGUCCGAUUUUUCUAAUCCUCUUCGAAUGUCAGGUUCCUAGCAUUUUCGAAAUAAAAAUGGCAAAACAAGUGCUUUCAUCUUAGAGCUUCCCGACCUAAGUCAAUCUAUCAACAACUACUCUGCCACUUAAGUUAAAAGUAUGAAAUGCGAAAAUUUAAAGGAGUGAGUUAGAAAAGAUGCAAACUUGACUCAAUAAUUUAUUCCGUGGCAUCGGUAGGUAAAUGUUACCCUUAGUUCACGUGGAAGUUUCCCAAAGGUACACUUCCAUUCACCAAGUCUCUCCUAGUCAAGAACUUUGGCUCACCACGAAGUCUCCCAACAAGACGGAUGAGAAGCUUGUCAUGAAGGAAACUCUCACCACUCCCUUCGUCAUCGCCGCUCCACACCAUACCAAGCCUAAGCUUCAAUGAUUUGCCAAGGAGUGCUAGAGUACCAAGUUUAUAUGGUUGGUUCGCUCUAACAAACAAGCACAAGGAAACAACACCUUGCUCUAUCACUCUCUAGGCCUAAUCUAACACUAACCACUCUCUAAACAUGUGUUAAUUGUUUUGGGUGACUAACUUAGCAAUUUUGUGGUAUGUACGUGUCUUCAUGUACCUUAGACUCCCUUAGACUUUAACACUCUUCAGCAACUCGCUUGUCCUUGCUAAUAUUCUCAAGUUAUACCUUGCUCACUCAUGGCUUUGUCGUGCCCCCUGACGCUGUAGAGAUCACAGCUCCAUCAUUUGCAAUACCUGAGUUGAUCCUUUGUCAUGUCCCUUUCUUUAUGAAGACUGCACUAUGUAAAAAAAUUGGCGACAAGUAUACAAGUAAUUCCCUGGUAUGUUUUGUGGAGAAAGAAAUGUUGACCUCAAUUACUAUUGAAGUGAUCGUGGACCAUUUCUAUAAGAUUAAAGAGCAUAGAAAUGAUGAAAAAUCGUAUAGAUGAUGAAGUCAAGUAUUACCAUUUAUACCUUUGUUGCCUUUUUAAUUUUUCCUUUGUUGAUUACAUUAUAAUUGGUUAGUUCUAACACUUUUUUAGAGUAUGCUAUUUUAGUAUUUUGUGAAAAUGAUGCAAAGGAAUAUUUCAUUUUGCCCUCUACAACGUACAAAGCAUGCAUCAUCGUUAUGCUACUGAAUGUGGUAAAAUGUCAUUUUGAUAAGAUUUAUUUAAUUAUGUCUGACUUUCUAUGUGUUGAUAUUGCAAGGAAUCGGUGCUCAUAGCCUAAGAGGGGGAACCUAAUAGGGGGAGGGGUUGAAUUAGGCAAACUUAAAACCUUAACCUAUGGCUUCCACUGCCAUGCAUCAAAACAUACACUAGAUCAUACUAUCUAGAUGUGCUUCUAUGGUUAAUCUAGUGAAACUUCCCACCCAAAAGGACUUUUACAACCUAGAGUCAAUCCUAUCAUGAUACUACUCUAGAAAGUAAAGGUACUCAAGUUGCAAGUAUGAAUUGCGGAAACAUAAAGGAGUGGGUUAGGAAGGAUGCAAACUCGGCACGACGAAUUUAUCCCAUGGUAUUGGUAGGAAAAUGUGACCCCUGAUCCAUGUUGGAGCUCCACCAAGGAUAUGCUCCCGGUCAUCAAGUCUCUCUCAGUCAAGGUCUUGGGCUCACCACAAAGGCUCUCGCCAAGUCAGAUGAGAAGCUUGCCACAAAGGCAAGGCUCACCAUUCCCUCUCUUCCAGUCACCUUGAUGUCAUCUCCACUACAGAGCUUCUGCAUGAAGGAAGAGGUCUCCUUGUCCCCCGCACACGGUCGUCGCCGCCACUCCACACCAAGCUGGAGGGUCGAAGACUUGCCGGCAAGCCACCAAGGCCCCAAGGUGUCAGCACACCAAGCUUACAAUGGUGGUUAACUCUUUAAACCAAUCACAAGGUACCAACACCUUGCAGUCACUCUCUCUAGGCCUAUCCUAGCACUAAUCACUCUCUAAGCAUGUGCUAAGUCUGGGAUCAAUCACUUUUGCACUUUUGGUGGCAUGGAUGUAUUCUUAAUUAGUCUUGGUCUUGAAUGCACUCUUGGACACUCCAGCAACUCGAAAUGGAUGAGUAGAGAGGGUAUAAAUAGCCCAAAGGCCUCGAAGAGUCGUUGCACCAAAGACUAGUAAAAUCUGUGAGCAUCGGAUGAUCCGAUGGUCACAUUUGUAGGCAUCGGAUCAUCCGGUGCCCCCUGCUAACGCAUAUAGCCAUUGGACCCCCUGCUCAAAUUCAUCUGACGUUUCAUUCGAUGCACCGUCAGAAUAUCCGGUGCUGAAGGGGUUUCACCCGGAACCUCUCUGGACGAUUUCAAAGUAAAUAUGCUUCAUCCGACGGUCACCUCCACAAGGCAUCGGAUCAUCCGGUGCUAUAAGUCUUUUUCUCUCUGCUCUGUGAAUUUAUCCGACGCCUUGUUCGAUGGCUGCUCUGAUGGAUAGCGGGGCACAAUUAAUCAAUGAUCAAAGACCGAACUGAAAUACCCAGACCGAAAUCGAAAUAUUUGAUCCUAAAUUCAGUUCCUAGUUCCUGAUAACUGAAAUAAAUUCAGUUUUUUCGGUUCCCACCCUUGGGUCCCCGAUUUAACCUAGAAAACGAAUAGGCCCAAUAGUACUUUAACAGACCAAGCUGGCCCAAGAGCAUAACUAACCGUAACACACACGGACACACCUCCCUCAAGCGGUCAGGCCUCAUCCACGCACCCCUCCCUCCCAAUCUCAUCCUCACCCCGCUGGCUGCCGCCUUCCACCCACGGGGGGAGAUCGCACGCUCCCUCCCACUGGAGGUAAGCCGGUGCACAGCCGAACGCCCACCUUCCUCUCCUCCAUCCCUCCAUGCUUGCCCGCGAUGCCAGGCUCCAUUUCCCUUCCCCUGACCUCUACUCCUCCAAGCUCCAGGUCAUCGCCCGCCUGUCCGCUCGCGCCGCACUCGACGGCACCCGGCCAGCGGCCGCUCGCGCGUCCCAGGUGCUUUGAUUCUAUUGGUUGCUCGCGCUCGGCAAUCAGAUGGUGGCAACUCCUUUCUCCUUAUCUCCUUGAGAUCGCAACACGUGAUACAUUUUGGAAGCAAUUUUCUUUUAUUUGUAUUUCAUCGCUGUUAUUUGUGUUUCAUCUGUGCUAAUUUGUGUGGAUUUUGUGUUGAUUUGUGCCUCAAUCAUGUGUUGUGAUGGUUGAUUCUCUGUAAUUUUUGGAUGUAUUCUCUGUUGGCUGACCGAGACCGAGACCGAACUAAUGGAGACCGAAUUCGUCGUUCUUGAAAAUUUCUAGUAACCGAUCGGUUCCGAUUUUUGAUAAUCGAAUUAAUAAAAGACCGCGAUCGGUUCGGUUCAGUCUAACCGAAUGCCCACCCCUACCGAUGGACCGUCGGUACAUCCGGUGCUACUGUUGAAUACUGUCAUUUGAGCACCAUGAAUAUAGGCACUUGAAUACCAUAGAAUAAUCGUAGAUACCAUGGUUUGAAUCCUACAAUACCAUGAUUUGGAUAUCAAGAAUACCAUCAUUUGGAUCAUCCCAUGAUUUAGUUUGCAUUCUUGUGACCUAUAAAAGUUACAGGAUACAAGCUAGACAAGCCAUUUGCCUCAAUGACUAUGUUGUCACUCAAUCACCAAAAUCACAAACUAUGACCUAAUGGAGUCAUGUUUCUUACAGAUAUCUUUUUAUCUUUGUUCGUGUAUCCAUAGUACUUGUUUUGUGCAGGUGUGGAGGGAGAGGAGGCUGAGGGGGCAUGUGCCCUCCUCCCCCCUUCCCCAAUGCCAAGGACACUCGCUGGUGUAUACCAAUUUUUACCACUAGUCCAUUAAUCCAUGCUCCACACGGGCUAAUAGUUCUAAGAGAUAUUGUAGUAGAACAUUGUUUAAAAAUUUGAACGCUAGCUAAUAAUAAAAAUUUUUAAUUGAGACAUUUAGAAUCAUACAUUGGUUUUUUUUAUAUUUCUGUAUAAUAAACAUUCAUAUAAUUAUAUUAAGAUUUAGGUGUUUGUUUUAUAUUUUUUUAGUAACGAAGUAUGUAAGUAAUUUAGAUAUAAAUUUAGAAUGGUAUUUUAAGUUAUUUUUUAUAAUGACAUUCAUGGUAGAAUUUUAGAUGAAAAUUAUGGAGUUACUUUAAAUUAUUUUUAUAAUGACAGAGCUGGAAAAUUUAGAUAUAAGUUAGGAGUUUAUUUUAGAAUAUUUUUAUAAUAAUAGUGGUAGGUAAUUUUUAAAAAUAUAAUAUAAUAGACUAAGACUAUGAUUAUUAGUGUAUACAAGAUUGAUACCGGAUGUUUAUGAUUUUUGUGGCAAUUCAUAGGAUUUAUCUUUUUUUCUAGCGUGUCUCGCUAAUGCGGAGUCUCCAAUUGAAAAAAAAUCAGGGUACAUAGCUAAUAAUAAAAAUUGUUACCUUAAAAAAUAUAAUAGACCAAUGACUAUGAUUGUUAGAGUCUACAGGGUUGAUACCCUGAUGUUUAUAAUUUUGUGGUAAUUCAUAGGAUUUAUCUUUUUUUUCCUAGCGUGUCUUGCUAAUACAGAGCCUCCAAUUGAAAAUAAUGAGGGUACAUAGCUAACAAUCAAAACUAUUACAUUGAACUCUCUCAUUUGUUAAAUAUUCUAACACAAUAUGUCAUAGAUAUAUACUUAUUAUCUUCAUAUAGAUUUUAGUUAGUAAUUACUUAUAACACUUCCAUCCACAUUUAUAAUAUUUCCUUUUUUCACUUUGCAUCACGGUUAUGCACUAGAAUUUGUUUAAUAGACAUUAAAUUUGAGCUAUAUUUUUAACAUAGAAAUCUAUAUUCUACUCACUUACACUAUAUAUUUAUAAAUGGUGACGCACAUCAUGGAUAAUACCUUGAUUAUUUUUUUCUAUACCAACAAUAUAAGAAAUAAUUAAUUUAAAAUCAUAUAUUGCUGUUCCUUAGGGUAUAUUUUUAAUGAAGAUGAUUUGGAUUCAAAUUUAGGGUUAUCACAUUUUAUUUUUAAUAAUUACGAAUGUGCAUAAUUUUGAUCCAAAUUUAAGGGUUACUUUAAAUAUUUUGUUAAUACAAAUUAUUAUUUUAUAAUGAUGUAAGUGGGUAAUUUAGAUGAAGAUGAGGGGUUACUUUAUUUUAUUCUAUAUAAUGGCAGAGGUGGGUAAUUUAGAUAUAGAUUAAGGGGGUUAUUUUUGGUGAUUUUCAUAAUGACAUAGGUGGGUAAUUUUGCGAAAACAUAAUAGAUUCAAUGGCUAUGAUGAUUAGACUACUGUACCGAUGGCUAGAUAUUUUGCUUUUUUGAGAGAAUUUCUAAAAUUUCUCUCCUUUUAUAGAGUGUCCACCUAGAAUUCCUAGAUAGUAUCAAAAGAAGUCUCCAAUUAGUAAUAGUAAGAUAAGAUGUAAAUCAAAGAAUCAAAGAAAAACAAUUAAAUUUGACCACUAUUUUGGCUUUGUUUCCGGUUUUAUGAGUGCGCCACUUCUUGGAUUUUAUCCUGAAUCGGUCAUGUAUGACUAUAGAUGCUAUGUAAAGAACGAUUGAUAGGCUAGUCAAACAGCAAAUAACAUUGCUGAGCACACAGUACUUCACGUGGGGCGCGCCUAUAUACCUUCAGAGUUCAGAUCAUCUAGACACCGGCGACUCCAAUCGCUCCGAAUAUUUUUUUUAAUAAACAAGUGCUCCGACUCUCACAUGCACACGGAUAGAAUCCUCAAUCCUGACUCCUCUCUACAGACCAACUAGCUAAGCCACACAAAUGGAGAGCGAGAGCUGGCUGCUGUUGGUGACGACGCUCGCCGUCUCGCUCCUCUACUAUCUCGCCAGCGUCCGACGCCGUUCAUCAAGUGGGGCCCGGCGGCCGCGCGGCCUUAGGCCGCUCCUGCUGAUCGGCAACAUCCUCGACCUCUGCAUCGGCAACCUCCACCACACGCUCGCUCGCCUCGCGCGCGCACACAGCCCCAUCAUGCGCCUUGAGCUCGGGCUCACCACGGUGGUGGUCAUCUCCUCGCGCGACGCGGCGGCGGAGGCGUUCACGAGGCACGACCGGCGGCUCGCCGCGCAGGCCUUGCCGAAUGCCACCCACGCGCUCGAGUUCUCAGAGCGCUCCAUGGUGUGUAUGCUGAGCUCCGACCCGCGGUGGAAGCACCUGUGCGGCGUCAUGGCCGCGAACAUCUUCACGGUGCACGCCGCCCGAAAACGCAAGGUGCGUGACCUGGUGGGCUACCUCCGUGGGUGUGCCGCCGCGCCGGGUGAGAGGUGGUCGUCAGCGAGGCCAUGUAAUGCGGCACUCUGAACCUAGUGUCGAGCACCUUGUUCCUCGGUCACUUUGAUACUGUUUCCACUAAGGAGUUUCUUCAUGAAGGAAGGAGGUCUUCAUGUCCCCCGCACAAGGUUGUCGAUGCCGCUCCACACCAAACCGGAGGGUUGAAGACUUGCUGGCGAGCCAUCAAGGCGCCGGCACACCUCUUGUACAACAGUGAUUCACUCUAAAACCUGAUCACAAGGUUGGCACACCUUGCACUCACUCCUUUCUCGGCCUAUCCUAGCACUAAUCACUUUUCUAAGCUUGUGCUAAGCCUUUGAUGCAUCACUUAAGCACUUUUGGUGGCUUGGAUGUGUUCUUGAUGAGUCUUGGUCUUCAAUGCACCCCUUGACACUCCAGCCACUCCAAAUAGGUGAGUAGUGGGGGUAUAAUUAGCCCCAAGGGCUCAAAGUGCCGUUGCUCCAACGGGUAGCGAAAAAGUAUACCAUUGAAUGUCCUAAUGGUCUAUUUUUAGCCUGCAUCGGAACAUCCGGUGCAUCUAGCCGCUGGACUCUCCGCGCCCAAAUUUCUUAGAAAUUCAUUCGACGCCUUAUCCGAUGCCCCCAUCGGAUCAACCGAUGCCACUAUUCACGUCACAUAGCCGUUGGAUUCCCUGAAGUCAUUGCUCCGAUGCUUUCUCCAAUGGUACCAUCGGAUCAUCCGGUGCCGAAGGAUUUCUAGCCAAAACCUUCUAUAAAGGAUUAAAGAAAAUAUACUUUGUUCGACGCUCCUUUUGUGUAUACCAUCGGAUCAUCCUGUGCUAUUAAGCUUUCUCUAUCUUCCAAGCCUGUCCCUUAGAAUUCGUCCGACGCUACUAGAAAAGUGACUAUCAGAACAUCCGAUGGUUGACUUUGUCUGGUUUUCUCCAUAGCGUACCAAUUACUCCGAUGCUUGUUCCGACGCUUUUCAGGUGGGGCAUCGGAACAUCUGAUGGUGCAUUUUUCAUUCCAAAUCGUCUAAUGCAAACACCAAAGAUACCAUCACUUGGACCAGCAGCGACACGAUUGUCAUCACAGUGGAGUGGGCAAUGGCCGAGCUCCUUCGCAAACGGGACGCCAUGGACAAGGUGCGUGCGGAGAUCAAGGCCACCAUCGGUGGCAAGGAAGCCAUCGAGGAGCCCGACACGGCAAGCCUGCUGUACCUCCACGCCGUGAUGAAGGAGGCGAUGCGGCUGCACCUCGUGGCACCCAUUUUGCUACCCAACCAAGCCAUCGAGGAUGGUGUCGAGAUCGGCGGCUACACAAUGCCCAGGGGGUCCAUGAUGAUCUUCAACGCAUGAGCAAUCAUGCGUGACCCGGCGGCGUGGGAGAGGCCAGAUGAGUUCAUCCCGGAGAGGUUCUUGGACCUGGAAGUCAAGGUAGACUUCAGAGUGAAAGACUUCAAGUUCAUCCCGUUCGAAGCUGGCCGGAGGGUGUGCCCCGGCAUACAAUAGCGGAGCGUGUGGUGCCGUUCAUACUCGCGUCGCUACUACACGCAUUCGAGUGGCGCCUGCGGGAUGGCAUGUCCACCGAGAAGUUGGACAUGACCAAGAAGUUCACCACCGACAAUGUCAUGGCUGUCCCUCUCAAGGCCGUGCCGGUCGUCGUCUAGAUGCUGCUAGAUGUUGGAAUUUGGGCAAUUGGAGGGCUCAGACAAUGCCAUUUUAAUGGCAUUGGCAAUUUGGCAAUAAUGAAGCAACAAAUCCAUUGAUCGAUUGUCCUCAAUCCCGUCUCAGCUAAAUGUGUAUACUCCUAUAAUGUGUCGCUUUGGUCUUGACACCAUUUUCCUAUAUGUUCGGCAACUUUGUGAUUGGUUGGUUAGACAUUUCCGCGUUUUUCUGUUGAGUAAAAUAUACAAGUGGUACAUCAACUUGGCAGCAAGUGUCAUCCAGGUCUCCAAACUUACAAAAUGCACAUCUAAAUCCCUAAACUUGUUAAUCGUUUCAUGUGACGUCCAAAUCUCCAUAACUUGCAUUAAACGACAUGCAUGCUGACGUAAACAUGGCAUGUAGGGCCCACAUGUUAGGUCCACCCAUCUUCUCUCUUCCUCUCUGUGGGGACUUGGGAGGAUGAACUACGCUGAUGAUUCGAAGCUCGAUGUGGCUGGUCUUCUCGUUCCGCGCAGAGCUUCAAGUUUGAUUUGGGGAUCGUGGAGCACCUUCUAGUGGGCUGGCCUUCAAUUUCUCGGGGGAGCAGUGCCCGAUGCCCAGUUUCUCGUGGAAGAUGUGGAAGCAAAGGCGGGGCUCAAUAGCGAAGACACUAUGGACCGCAGCGUAGGUGCCGUGGAUCCAGCGGCAGAUCUUGGAAUCGAGCGUGUCCUACUCGAGCCGUUGGACAUCACCAAUGUUCAGCUUCUCGACGCUGAGCUCCUUUUGUGCAUACCAUCGGAUCAUCCCAUGCUAUUGAGCUUUCUCUGUCUUCCAAGCCUGUCCCUCGAAUUCGUCCGACGCUACUAGAAAAGUGACCAUCGGAACAUCCGAUGGUUGACUUUGUCUAGUUUUCUCCAAAGUGUACCAAUUAUUUCGACGCUUAUUCCGACGCUUUUCAGGUGGGGUAUCGGAACAUCUGAUGGUGCAUUUUUCAUUCCAAAUCGUCCAAUGCAAACACCAAAGCUACUAUCACUUGGAUGGUCUCUGUAUUUUUUCUAUCAUUUGGAUGCUUCAAUACCAUAGAAUAAUCCUAGAUAUCAUGGCUUGGUCACUUAAAUACCAUAACUUGGAUACUCGAAUACCAUAACUUGGAUGUCAAGAAUACCAUCAUUUGGACCUUGCCAUUGUUUGGUUUGCAUUCUUGGGACCUAGAAAACCUACAAGGUACAUGCUAAACAAAGCAUUAGUCCCAAUGACUAUGUUGUCACUCAAUCACCAAAAUCACAAACUAUAGCUUAAUGAGGCCAUGUUCGCUACACGGCCAUGAGCCCGACGAGGCUGAGUCCUCCACCAUGCGCCAGGCUGAGGAGGUGCUCUCCUUCAUGGAGCGUGAGGUCGAGCGCCGCAACCACGAAGCUGAGCUCCUCGCCCUCGCGUGCCUCCACCCGGUCUCCACCCUUGACCCCUCCUCCUUCCUUCUCUCCUCGCCCGCCACGCCACCGCCGUGCCUACAACCCACCAUGCCGCCCUCGCCGCCGCCGGGAGAGGAGGAGGGGCGCCUCCGCCAGGACAGGAGGAGCGAUGUCGGGCAGGGGAGAGCCGAUGGGAGAGAAGGAGAGGCGCCGCCGCUGGAAGAGGAGGAGGGGCAUCGCACUGGGAGAGGAGGAGUGGUGCCGGGCAGGGGAGAGCCGGUGGGAGAGGAGGAGGGGAGCCGCCGUCGAGAGAGGAGGAGCAGUGCCGCCGCUGGGAGAGGAGGAGCGGUGCCGGGUAGGGGAGAGCCGGCAGGAGAGGAGGAGGGGCACCACCGUCGGGAGAGGAGGAGGGGCGUCGCCGCUGGGAGAGGAGGAGCGGUGCCGGGCAGGGGAGAGCCGGCGGGAGAGGAGGAGGGGCGCUACCACCGGGAGAGGAGGGGCGCCGCCACCGGGAGAGGAGGAGCAGUGCCGGGCAGGGGAGAGCCGGCGGGUGAAGGAGACGGGAAAAAAAGAAGCGAACUGGUACAACAUAACCAGUGGUAGUGGGUAAUUUCUUCCAACUUGUGAAAGCCAAAGCUCCAGAAAGCACUUACUCUCUUACUGUGAAAAAUGAACUACAUGAAAGUAGCUUUCUCUGUAAGCCAAGGAGUAUCCCUACUUCUAGCUUUUUUUUUUUUAGCCACAACACCAGAAAGCCAAAACCAAAGGGAGCCUCAGUCGUUGAAAUUUCCGGAUCCGUUGUACCGUGAGAAGUUUGUGCGUGUUUGCUGUUUUGCUUCAGUCGGAAGAUGCCGAUCGAUCGACCAUAUGAACAGCAAUCGGGGAUCCUGCAUUUUUGCGGCAUGAGAGUUACGGGUGUUAGAGCAACUCCAAGAGACUGCUAAUCUUACCCCCAAUACUUUUUUUAGGAAAAAAGAGAGAAAAAAUGAACUCCAACAAUCCACCUAAACCUUCCCCAAUUUUUUAGCGACGCUAAAAAACAGCCUGCCACCGUGUAUAUUUUAGCGUUGGCGUUCCUCCCCCAAUCCUGAUUCCCGCACGCCCGCGCGUCCCUUCCGAUGGGCCCAAUAUGAUAACUUGGCCUGUGUUUGAAAUAUUAGGGGCUAUUUAUUAGCGAUCUGCUGUGGACUGAUAUGUUUUUGGGGGAAAUUUUUUUUAGGAGAAUCCCCAAUACAUAGUUUUGGGGAAGAAUUUUUUAGGAUACUCUUGGAGUUGCUCUUAGGCGUGAAAUCAACAGGAGCGGACAGGAGUGAACACAUUCUGGAUCUCUGAAGUCUGAACCCGUUACUUGAACGUUCAAGAACUCUUGAUGACUUGGGCUAAACCUAUCCAUCCAUGUGUGUGGUCCAAGCCAUAUACACAUGGGCAUUAUACAAGGCGCCAAGUCCUAGAGCAGAUCCAAUCCAACAUAACAGUUACACAUAUUCUUGCAUUAUUUCUGGUCCCUGAAGUUCUGUCAUUUUGUGUAACAAAGAACUCAUCCUCUCUCUUUUUUUUACCAUGGGUUCUAUUUUUUUUAUAAUUUAUCUACCUUUGCCACAAUAAAACAAAUUAACCUUUGAGUGUAUUCUAACUUGGUUGCCACUUUUCAAAAAUUUGCCGAUGGAUCUGCAUUGAAUAAAUGUACUAUUAGUGUUGAUGUUGGGAAAAAAUAGAAGAAACGGAGUGAAUUCUUUUCAAGUUCUGUAUAGGCAUUUUUUUUGGCAAAACAUCCAAGUAUUAUUAACUUAUACUAACAUUUUUCAAUUAUGAUAUAGGCAAUCAUUGAUCUCAUUCUGUUGAUAAAAAUGUAAGAACUAUAACGAUGCAAACAUAUUAUAAAAAUGGAUUCACGGUUUAUGAAAUAUAAGCAUUUAACUGCAUAAGCUUACUAACUCUACCAUUCUGGUGCGUUCACACGUGCAUUGCCUUGGAUAGUUGGAUGUAAGCAAGUGUCGUUGAAUGGGGGGGAAAAAAAACUUCACGCAUUCGUAUGGUUGAACGAGAAAAAAAAAGGCCUUGCGUGUAGGCUUGUGCGUGCACACUGUCUAGUGAAAAGGGUGUGCAAAUGCCAAAAGGCUAUAACUAUCCAAGGCAAUGCACGUGUGAACGCACCAGAAUUCACCAUUUUCCAUGUCGUGCCAGAAAGAAUUCCUGCCAGAUCCAGUACAUUUCCACGUAGAGAACACGAGUAGCAAUCAAGGGCACCAACCUCUCUGCAGACUAGACUGACUUCUCACAUGCACGGAUUGAAUCAUGCCGGAACAAGCUACCAGCUACGCCCCACAAAUGGAGCGCGAUCUCUGGUUGCUGUCGGCAACGCUCGCCGUCGUCACGCUGCUCUACUACGCCAGCCUAAGACACCGUUCCGGCGCUGCACGGCGGCCGCCGCCCGGCCCUAGGCCACUCCCACUCAUCGGCAACCUCCUCUCCCUCCGCGGCAACCUCCACCACACGCUCGCGCGCCUCGCCCGCGCCCACGGCCCCGUCAUGCGCCUCCGGCUGGGGCUCUCCACGGCCGUCGUCAUCUCCUCGCCCGACGCGGCGAGGGAGGCGUUCACGAGGCACGACCGCCGCCUCGCCGCGCGCGCCGUCCCGGACACCGCCCGCGCCCUCGGCUUCUCGGCGCGGUCCAUGAUCUGGCUGCCGAGCUCCGACCCGCUCUGGAGGACCCUGCGCGGCAUCGUCGCGACGCACGUCUUCUCCCCGCGCGGCCUCGCGGCGGCGCGCGGCGUCCGCGAGCGCAAGGUCCG
rnacentral:lncRNA from 1 species